ACCUGAGAGGAAACAAGAAACAAUUAUUUUCUAUAUGCUAACUACUUUGGAUGUAAAUUAAAAAAAAAUAAAAUUAUAAAAAAAUAAAAAUGUUAAAUAAAAAUAUAUUAUCUUAGAAAAAUAAAGAAUAAAGCCAAUGACUUAAAAAAAAAAAAAAAAAAAAAGAAUUCUCUGAGUGAUUUCAGAUGUUUUGUGGGGCCAGCACUAAAAACACUGAUGUCUACCACUACAAGUGUGCCCUCUAUGAAACACAUGUAACCAUCUGCCAGGCCUCCCCAGCUGGUAACCGCUUCAGUCCUGCUCACUGAAUGAAUUGUCCAAUGCCCAUUGAUAUGGACCACCGUUGCUAAUGCUGUUGCCCCAAGAAUUAUAAAGUGAAAUAAGACAGGUCAUUUAUUUGGAGAUGUAAGCCAGGAGAAGAAAGCCACAGACUGUAUCCCUAUCAUAUCUAUGGAGAGCAAAGGUAAAGAGUUGACAGUUUCCCUUUGUCCCAAGUCUGUACUUAUAUCCUGAUUGGGUAUCGAUAUUAUUCGUAAGUGGAAUUCUUUUUUUAAUUUAUUUCAUUUUCCUUGCAGCUGAUCUAAGUGUACAAGUUUAUUGCUUCCUCAAAAAGCUUUGAUUUUACCCAGUUUUCUCCAUGAGUUUGAGUCUUAAGCUAGAUUUAUUUUUUUGGUAGGAGAUGUCAGAAAAAAUACGACAAAUGCUAACCUAGCUACAGACCAUGUCCACUAAGAAAUACUUUUACUAUAUAUGGUAGAGAGGGAAAAGAAUGGGGAAAAUCAUUUAUUGGGCACUAAUAUAUAUUUCAGUCAUUCAUUUCAGCUUCCAAAGUCUUGCCUUCCACUCUUAUCCCAGAACUAGUAGCUAAAGCCAAUAGGUACUACAUUAGUCUAACUGGAAAUGAACAAUUCAUAACUUUGUAAGUGUGUGACUUAUUUUUGGGAUUACAUAAAAAUAAUUUAGCUUCAUUACAAGGAGCCCCCUCCCCUUAUCAUAGAAUGGAAAUGUCAGUGUAACAGGAACAUAAGGGGCCUUUUAAGGCAAAGAUUCACAGUGAAUUGAUGUCUUCCUGGUUCUAGGAGAAAUUCUUAAGAGGAUUAGCAGUUGAUGAGCCCCCACUGCUGAGCACUGUGGGGAUAACCUACGGAACAGAGAAGCUCUGAAUCCUGCAGUUGUAUAAAUUGAAAAACAUGCCUUUCAUUAUUUCACCUUUAUAAAAUACAAGGCCAGUUUUUACCACAGAAUAGAUGACUUUUUUCCCCAGGAGUCACUCUGUACAGAACGACUACCAUAGCUGGGAUCAGACUCACUAAGCAAAGCAGAAGAAUCUUGAGUUUCUUAGAGAAAGUCAAAUCAAAGAGGAACGGGCACAACCUGGUCAACUAAAUGAGAUGCCAUGUCUGAUGUUGUCCUUUCCUUCUGUCCUGAUGUAUCUACUUCUGGGACUUUCCAGACUUAUUUCAGAUUCCUUCUGGGUAGUACCCAACCACAAACAUCAGUCGUAAGUUAGUAGCCUGAUUAUGCAUUUAUUCGUUGGGUAUCAGUGCCAUUAUUCUUUGAAGAAAUACUUCCAUCCUGCCCUUCUUAGGAAGUCCUUUGACACAUUAGCAGGUGGAAAGCUUUGGCGUGAAGCACACAGAAAAUUCCAGGAAUUGUGCAGCUAUAUAGCAGGCCUAUGAGGCAAACCUCUUCAACACAAACACACACCUUCUACUUGGGCUUGAUGGGGUAGCAUAACUAUUGUGCCAAUUUCUGAUACGUUUCUUCCCCCAAGCCAUAUGAAUGGAGAAAACUAAACUCUGGCAAUGCAGAAGAGCCUUCCACACUCUGCCCAAAGAGACACAGCCUGGUUAAAUACAUUUGAACUCCCUGAAUCCAUCACCAUCACAAGCAGUAUGAUGGUUUUUAAAGCAAGGUCCCUGAACCGGCAGCAGCAUCUCCUUGGGAAAGAUUAACCAGUCAAGGCACACUAAAUCAAACUCUGGGGAUGUGUUUUAACAAACCCUCCAGCGAGUCUGCCGUACAUGUUCGAGAACAAACACUCUUGCCACAUUUAGCCUGUCUAUGACAAAGGCUAGAUAGCUGUCAAAAAACAGACUAGACUGGGAAGGUUCCCAGGACCAGAUCAUUUGGCAGAGUUGCAGGCUGUGAGGGGUUUGAAGCUAAUGGUGCCAGGUCACCAGCCCAGGACUAGAAAAAAUGCAAAAUGGCAUGUUCAGGGUUCUCUGGAUCUAUGAUAUUGUGUGACAAGUGGCAAGCAAACUUGGCAUUUUCUAAAUGGGUGAUGAUGUAACAGAGUCAUAACCUGUUUUCCUGGAUCUCUUGCCAGAUUUCUAGGGCUUCAACAUGUAAAAUGUGAAAUACUGUGGAUUUCAUACCCCUACACUGAGUAGCAUACCUCAUGCUCUCUCUUAUAUGAACUGACAAGCAUUGUAACUCUCACAUGCUGCAGAUAUUCAUACAGGGAAAAUUCUUCAUCAUUAGUUCUGGUACUAAAAAUGAGGCUGUACCGAGAAAACAAACAGGGACUUGCAUUUUCUCAACCCAAACAUUUUGCCAGAUGCCAUGUUUUGUGUUAAGAGGAAUUAAUAAGAAAAAUCUUACAAACCUA